UUCCAUAAAUGGGAAAAUUCAUUUAGCGACCUUUCCUUUCUGGAACAGCCUGCAGCGCCAACUCUCUCUCUCUCUCUCCCUCCUUCCUCAGUCUUCUCCUCUUUCCAAAAUUGCUCGGAAAAUUUCCAGUGCAGACCUAAACUUCAGAGGUAAAACCCCCCAACGAAGGUGAACAAAAGAACCAGAGGGGGUAGCAAGAAAUAGAGAAAAUGAAGAUCAAGAUAAAAAAGAUCGACUACUUGCCGGCAAGGCAGGUGACCUUCUCAAAGAGGAGAAGGGGGAUUUUCAAGAAAGCUGGAGAGCUGUCGAUUCUGUGUGAAUCUGAAGUUGCUGUUAUCAUCUUUUCUCAAACUGGCAAGCUCUUUGAUUUCUCAAGCUCCAGCACCAAGGAUGUGAUUGCAAGGUACAAUUCACAUAUCGGUGGGGAAAAAUCGGAUCAACCCACGAUUCAUCAGCUACAGUUGGAGAAAGAAAACAAUAUCAGGCUGAGGAAGGAACUUGAGGAUAAGAGUUGCAAGUUGAGGCAGAUGAAGGGUGUGGACCUUGAAGACUUGGAUCUGGAUGAACUACAGAAGUUAGAAAAAUUGGUGGAAGCAAGCCUUGGCCGUGUGAUUCAAACUAAGGGAGCUGAGCUGAUAGAAGCUAACAACCAGCUAAGCCACAGGAUGGUGAUGUAUCCCAGAGGAGAUAUCGGACCGGAGGCCAUCCUGGAGUUGGAAAACCUGAAUAAUAUUGGAGAAGAAAGCAUGACAUCUGAAUCAACCACAAAUGUCACCACCUGCUCCAACAGCUCUCUUUCCCUUGAAGAUGAUUGCUCCGACAUCUUGUCUCUCAAACUGGGCUUGAUUCAUAUCAGCAUGAUCAGGUCGAAUUUUAUAUACAUCACCAUUUAGGGAAGGUCUUAAUAAAUGUCGAAUCGAGCAUAGUCCAUCUCCUUUGUGGCGCGGCGGAAGCUUGUGUUCAAAUAUACUAAUGUCUUCCGUAGUUUCCCUGGUUAAAAAGUGGAGACAGAUGGGAAGUUGUACUUCCUUAACUACUAAAUAAAGUCGAGUUAUUGUAAGAUAUGACUGACUUGUGUGUUUUAACUCGAAAACAAAUUGGAAGGCAUUUCUGUGUGAGUGUGACGGUGUGUUAUAUGUAAAACUAUAUUUGUGUAUUCCAUGCAGCCAGACAUUGCUGUAUAUUAAGUUGUAUUGUAUCCAAAUCUGUGUGGUAAAUGCAGGCCUACUAAUUCAGACUAGUCCAGUUUUGGGUUGGGGAUGACAAGCUAAGUUAUGAAUCUUUCUAAUUAGGCUUAAAUAAUCAUUUGUCCCCUAGAACAAAACCCGAGCCUCAUUGUGUACCUGAAUGGUUGAUAUUUAACCUCCGAAACUUACAUUUGUGUUU